UACGAAGGGUGCAAGCGUUAUUCGGAAUCAUUGGGCGUAAAGCGCGCGCAGGCGGAUUAAUAAGUCAGGUGUGAAAUCUCGAGGCUCAACCUCGAAACUGCGCCUGAAACUAUUAGUCUAGAAUGUCGGAGGGGGCAGGGGAAUUUCACGUGUAGGGGUAAAAUCCGUAGAGAUGUGAAGGAACACCGGAGGCGAAGGCGCCUGCCUGGACGACUAUUGACGCUGAGGCGCGAAAGCGUGGGGAGCAAACAGG
rnacentral:rRNA from 1 species